rnacentral:lncRNA from 1 species
UGGUCCUCUUCUUCCCUUCUCCUCUCUCACGUUUCUUUAAUUCCUCCAUGGGAGUUUUCUUCAAGCUUCCAUAACUUUCUCUCUUUAGCUCCAAUUUUCAUGCUUUUGGUGUACUCUUCCAUAAACCCUUAUGCUCUUUCAUCCUCUCACUUUAAAACCAUUCAAAAAUCUGGUUUUCAUACUUUCUCUCACUAGUUGGAUGUUCUAGAGAGAGAAAUAAAGAAUUACCCCAUUGAUUAGAAAGCAAUUGGAAGAGAAUUUGACUACAAAAGAGCCCUAGGGUAAGUGAUGAACUAAGCUCAAUUUUUAGCUAUAGAAAAUGGCUAGUAAUUGGGAUUUAUGAGCUAUUUUAUUGUUGACUAUGUUCAUUACUUUUUAGUGAUUAAGAUAGUGAACAUAGAUAGCCAUUUAAUGUGGCAAUUGAAAGCUAGCUAAGAGAUAGCUUUUAGGGUUCAUAGUGUGUAAAUUGACCUAUUGAUUAUACCAAUGUGAUCCUAGGUUCUAAGGAAGCCCCAUCAUCUCAUUGGACAAUUAGAGGAAUUGGAGUCAUCUAAAGGCUCUACAAUCAAUUGGUAAGUGGAUUGCCUAUCAAAAUUGUUUUGGGAAUAUGACUGUUUUGAACAAAAUGUUUGAAUGAUUUUAUACAACUUUUCUAAAAAAUGAAUGCCUUGGGAACAAGCUCUUGAGAAAUGGUUUAUGUUAUGAUAUGUAGUUAUUAUGGAUUUCUAUGUGGCUACAUUAUGUUGAUAUACAUAUAUGCUCAAAUAUAAUGUUGUGUAAUUAUAUUGACUCGGCUAUGUGCGAGUAGGGAGUGCGUAUAAGCCGAAGAUGACCAGAUUAUGUGCGAGUAGAGAGUGCGCAUAACCUGGUGAUGACCCAGCCAUGUGCGAGUAGGGAGUGCGCAUGAGCUGGUGAUGAUGAUGAUGGGAUGGUGUGCAUGAUGGUGAUGGGUAUAUGUAUAUGUAUACAUACGUAAACAUGUGUGUUAUAAGAAAUUUAUAAGUUAUGUAUAUGGAUGUAAUGUAUGUGAAAUUCGGUAUGUUAAACUUUGGGAAGUUGUUAUGUAUUUCUUAUUGGUUUUGAA